UACGUAGGGGGCAAGCGUUGUCCGGAUUUACUGGGCGUAAAGAGCGCGUAGGCGGAAUGGUAAGCGGGGCCGGAAAGCCCCCGGCUUAACCGGGGAAGGGGCCGCGAACUGCCAUUCUUGAGGGGGAGAGGGGAGAGCGGAAUUCCUGGUGUAGCGGUGAAAUGCGUAGAGAUCAGGAGGAACACCAAUGGCGAAGGCAGCUCUCUGGCUUCACCCUGACGCUGAGGCGCGAAAGCGUGGGGAGCGAACAGG
rnacentral:rRNA from 1 species